rnacentral:lncRNA from 1 species
AAAAGUAUUAUUCACAUAAUUUUAUUGUAUACUUUUACUUCUAGAAAACACUACACUUUGUCAGGACAAUGUAAAAAAAGAAGAAAAAGAAGAAGUAAACGAAGAAAAACAACAACGACAAGAGUUCCUGAUCUUUGCUGGACUUGCAGUUAUUUCCACCUUGCUUGUGUGCAUCAUUUUAAUUUGCAUCUGCAGAAAAUGUUUCUGUAGAAGAGAUUCACCUAACAGAAGAAAAGGUCAUAGAAAAACAAAUGAUAUUGCCAUGGAAGAGCCAGUAUAUGAUGAGCCCAACUGUCCACAAGAACAAGUACAAGAAACUUCAUUUGAUGAAGAACCUGAUGCUCCGAUAGUGAACACUCUGCCAUAUGUCUACACGGACUUCAUAAAGCCAAAAGCUAAGCUAACCGAAAAGCAACAGGAUGAAGAGGCUGGCUACUCCACCAUUGCAGAAAUGCAAGCAAACAAGAAGCCCCUUCAAAACCACACAGGAGUCAAUAAAGCAGCGGCUCUGACAGAAUGCAUGCUAACAGUAGUUAGUGACUAAACUACAGUAUUUAGGUUUACUGUAAACUGGUGCAACACCAGGAUAAUUCAUUAGAAGUUUUGCAGAAGUGUGGUGCCAUCCUUUCCUUUUAAGUGUAUUCAAUGAAUAUUGUUUGAGGAAGUUGGUUUUGUGUUUCUCAUUCAGUGUUUUUUCAGUCCUGGCCAAGAAGCCCUGAUCCUGUGAAGUUUAAGUUUACACAGAAUUAUCUUAAAAUUAUAUCUAUACUAUAUCUAUAUUACCUAACUUUGUGGGUUGUGAGUUCAUAACCCGAGUUCAGCAAGUUCCCACUGUUAAACCCUUAACCCUUUGUGCUCCAAGGGUGUUGCAGCAACGGCUGCCUUACCCUGCACUGGGCAUGUGUGCACUUUUUUCAUUGUAACUAAUGUUUCUGCUUGUUAACUUAAUACAAAAUGCUGUGAUUUUG